GGCCGGCCCGGCUCGGCGCAUUCGUAAACAAACCCUGGUUCAGUUCGGAGCAGCGAACACCCGAAGACCCCUUCACCCUUCACCAUCAGUGUAACACACUUGGGCUUCUUAUUUCAUCGAGACCGCCGGCACGGGAAAAUGUAGGCGAGCGGGCACCAGGUGCGGAGCGCGACAGUUUACCUGCACCCUACGGGGUCGGUGCUUGAACAAUCCGUACGCGACGACAGGCGUGAAUUAGAGUUCGAAAUACCUUUACACUUUGAACAAAUAUGCGAAGAGAACUUCGAGAUACAGUUAGAGCAGACUCGUAGUUUGAUCCAAAACCAUCGGCACCAUCUGCCUCCUCUAGUACCGCACACUGUGGCACAGCAUUGGAAA